CUCAUCUCUGCUAUUCUUUCUUCUUAUCUAAUCCUUGAUCUCUGGUCUAUUAUGAAUUCAAACAUGUCUAUCUAUGAAUUUCAUAGACCUAUGGGCACACAUCUCGAACCACCAAAAUCUUCAAAGCCUAUCAUAGCACCUAGUUUUGAGAUAGACCCCGAAUACAUAGAAUUUAUUCAAAAACAACCUUUCUCAGGAAAAGGUGAGGAAAACCCAUACACACACC
rnacentral:lncRNA from 1 species